UACGUAGGUGGCGAGCGUUGUCCGGAAUUACUGGGCGUAAAGGAUGCGUAGGCGGAAUCUUAAGUCAGAUGUGAAAUCCCCGGGCUUAACCCGGGAAUGGCAUUUGAAACUGGGGUUCUAGAGUGCAGGAGAGGAAAGCGGAAUUCCUAGUGUAGCGGUGAAAUGCGUAGAUAUUAGGAAGAACACCAGUGGCGAAGGCGGCUUUCUGGACUGUAACUGACGCUGAGGCAUGAAAGCGUGGGGAGCAAACAGG
rnacentral:rRNA from 1 species